CCUACGGGCGGCAGCAGUGAGGAAUAUUGGUCAAUGGACGAGAGUCUGAACCAGCCAAGUAGCGUGAAGGAUGACUGCCCAAUGGGUUGUAAACUUCUUUUAUAUGGGAAUAAAACCGGGUAUGCAUCCCCUCUUGUGUGUACCAUAUGAAUAAGGAUCGGCUAACUCCGUGCCAGCAGCCGCGGUAAUACGGAGGAUGCGAGCGUUAUCCGGAUUUAUUGGGGUUAAAGGGAGCGUAGGUGGGUUGUUAAGUCAGUGGUGAAAGUUUGCGGCUCAACCGUAAAACUGCAGUUGAAACUGGCAGUCUUGAGUUCGGUAGAGGUGUGCGGAAUGCGUGGUGUAGCGGUGAAAUGCUUAGAUAUCGCGAAGAACUCCGAUUGCGAAGGCAGCUUACUGGACUGCAACUGACACUGAGGCACGAAAGUGUGGGUAUCAAACAGGAUUAGAUACCCUAGUAGUC
rnacentral:rRNA from 1 species